UGGGGAAUAUUGCGCAAUGGACGAAAGUCUGAUCCAGCCAUGCCGCGUGAGUGACGAAGGCCUUAGGGUUGUAAAACUCUUUCGUCGGGGACGAUAAUGACGGUACCCGAAGAAGAAGCUCCGGCUAACUUCGUGCCAGCAGCCGCGGUAAUACGAAGGGAGCUAGCGUUGUUCGGAAUCACUGGGCGUAAAGCGCACGUAGGCGGAUAGUUAAGUCAGGGGUGAAAUCCUGGGGCUCAACCCCAGAACUGCCUUUGAUACUGGCUGUCUCGAGGUCGAGAGAGGUUGGUGGAAUUCCUAGUGUAGAGGUGAAAUUCGUAGAUAUUAGGAAGAACACCAGUGGCGAAGGCGGCCAACUGGCUCGAUACUGACGCUGAGGUGCGAAAGCGUGGGGAGCAAACAGGAUUAGAUACCCUUGUAGUCCCUGAGCGGGCUGGCAAGGCGCAU
rnacentral:rRNA from 1 species